rnacentral:miRNA from 1 species
CCAAAUGCUUCCCAAUAUACCACCUGCCACCCAGGGGUGGCAGGUGGUAUAUUGGGAAGCAUUUUUGGGA